ACCUGUGUGGCGUAGUGGUUUGAAUGUUGGACUAUGACUCUGGAGACCAGGGUUUGAAUCCCUGUUCAGCUA